GACGAACGCUGGCGGCGUGCCUAAUACAUGCAAGUCGACCUUAGUGGCGAACGGGUGAGUAACACGUGGGUAACCUGCCAAACAGAAGGGGAUACAACUUGGAAACAGGUGCAAAUACCGAACACGGAGGGAGGGACCCGCGGUGCAUUAGCUAGUUGGUGGGGUAACGGCUCACCAAGGCCAAGAGGCAUAGCCGACCUGAGAGUGGGACCGGCCACAUUGGGACUGAGACACGGCCCAAACUCCUACGGGAGGCAGCAGUAGUGAAUCUUCGGCAAUGGACGAAAGUCUGACCGAGCAACGCCGCGUGAGUGAAGAAGGUUUUCGGAUCGUAAAACUCUGUUGUUAGAGAAGCGGUAUCUAACCAGAAAGCCACGGCUAACUACGUGCCAGCCGCCGCGGUAAUUC
rnacentral:rRNA from 1 species